ACGGAAGGCAGCAGUCGGGAAUAUUGCGCAAUGGAGGAAACUCUGACGCAGUGACGCCGCGUAUAGGAAGAAGGUUUUAGGAUUGUAAACUAUUUUAGUCAGGGAAGAAAAAUGACGGUACCUGAAGAAUAAGCUCCGGCUAACUACGUGCCAGCAGCCGCGGUAAUACGUAGGGAGCAAGCGUUAUCCGGAAUUAUUGGGUGUAAAGGGUGCGUAGACGGGAAUUUAAGUUAGUUGUGAAAUCCCUCGGCUCAACUGAGGAACUGCAACUAAAACUGAAUUUCUUGAGUGCAGGAGAGGAAAGCGGAAUUCCUAGUGUAGCGGUGAAAUGCGUAGAUAUUAGGAGGAACACCAGUGGCGAAGGCGGCUUUCUGGACUGUAACUGACGUUGAGGCACGAAAGUGUGGGGAGCAAACAGGAUUAGAUACCCUGGUA
rnacentral:rRNA from 1 species